AUUGAUUCCCGACUGAAGGUAGAGAGGACUACGUGGUGGGGGAGGGCGGGGGGAGGGUCCCGGCGGCAGUGGCGACCUCCGCUGCGCGGCUGCGUCCCGAGGAAUUACAAGACGCGGACCAGCAGCACAUCCUGGGAAUAAUAUCCGCUGCCCUUGCGUGUCUUGCACAGUGACUGCGUAGGACGCCACCGUGGAGAGCCCACUGCGGGGUCACGGCCGCUGCGCUCAGCCUCCGUCUGGCUCUGGUGCAGGAGGCCUAGUUGCGUCACCUCCCUUUCCUUCAUCUGUUUGGCUUGAUUCCUGGGCCCCACUAGAGGCAUUGUCCAGAUGUGAACCAAGAUUUGGCCUUUUCACCAAGAGAAAAGGGAAGGCUCAUGGGCAUGGGCACACAGUGCUGAGAUCGUGGGCACACAUACUGGGGAUUGAACCCAGGGGCCUCAUGCAUGCCCGGCAAGCGCUCUACCACUGAGCUACUUCUUCAAUCCAGUAAACUAGUUUUAAACAGAUGGCAUUCAUGGUGUUUUUGUGUCAUUUCUCUAUUCUGUGUCAUUUCUCUCUUUAAAGAUGACUUAAGUCCAUAUAGUGAACUAUUAGGAACAUGCAAGGUUUAUAUAACUCAUCCACAUGAACUGCUCUACACACACAUCCUUGUAGUUCCUCUGCCCAAGAAGCUCUGAUUCUGUUUCUAUAAUCUGACAGAUACCUUGAAGCCACUUGUUUCAUCAUUUUUAUCAGACUCAAUGAGUGAGACCCUCUGACAUCUUUCUUUUUUUUCCCCUUUGUACCAUCCCCUACCACACACAAAAAGUGUUCUU